rnacentral:rRNA from 1 species
UACAGAGGUCCCAAGCGUUGUUCGGAUUCAUUGGGCGUAAAGGGUGCGUAGGCGGCUCGGUAAGUCGGGUGUGAAAUCUUGGAGCUUAACUCCGAAACUGCAUUCGAUACUGCGGUGCUUGAGGACUGGAGAGGAGACUGGAAUUCAUGGUGUAGCAGUGAAAUGCGUAGAGAUCAUGAGGAAGACCAGUGGCGAAGGCGGGUCUCUGGACAGUUCCUGACACUGAGACACGAAGGCCAGGGGAGCAAACGGG